AUAAAUAUUGGGAGCCGUACCUGCCCAGUGACUAAUAAGUUUAACGGCCGCGGUACUCUGACCGUGCAAAGGUAGCAUAAUCACUUGUCCUAUAAUUGAGGACUUGUAUGAAUGGUUUGACAAGAACAAUACUGUCUCUUAAAAAUUUAAUAAAAUUUGGUUUUUAGGUGAAGAAACCUAAAUAAUAUUGAAAGACAAGAAGACCCUAUCGAGCUUAAAAAAUACGUUAAUUAUUUACUAAAACUAACGAAAAAAAUUGGUUGGGGCGACUAAGGAACAAACAAAGCUUCCUUUAAUAUAUAAAACCUAUAUGUAUUGAUCCAAAAUAUUUGAUUAAAAAAAUUAGUUACCGUAGGGAUAACAGCAUAAUCUUUUUAGAGAGAACAUAUCGAAAAAAAGGUUUGUGACCUCGAUGUUGGACUAGGAUAUCCUAAUAGAUUGCAGAAGUCUUUAACGGUUAGUCUGUUCGACUA
rnacentral:rRNA from 1 species